rnacentral:rRNA from 1 species
GGGGAAUAUUGCACAAUGGGCGCAAGCCUGAUGCAGCAACGCCGCGUGAGGGACGACGGCCUUCGGGUUGUAAACCUCUUUCGGCAGGGAAGAAUCGAAAGUGACGGUACCUGCAGAAAAAGCACCGGCUAACUACGUGCCAGCAGCCGCGGUGAUACGUAGGGUGCAAGCGUUGUCCGGAAUUAUUGGGCGUAAAGAGCUCGUAGGCGGUUUGUCGCGUCUGCUGUGAAAACCCGAGGCUCAACCUCGGGCCUGCAGUGGGUACGGGCAAACUAGAGUGCGGUAGGGGAGAUUGGAAUUCCUGGUGUAGCGGUGGAAUGCGCAGAUAUCAGGAGGAACACCGAUGGCGAAGGCAGAUCUCUGGGCCGUAACUGACGCUGAGGAGCGAAAGCAUGGGGAGCGAACA